GACGAACGCUGGCGGCGUGCCUAAUACAUGCAAGUAGAACGCACAGUUUAUACCGUAGCUUGCUACACCAUAGACUGUGAGUUGCGAACGGGUGAGUAACGCGUAGGUAACCUGCCUGGUAGCGGGGGAUAACUAUUGGAAACGAUAGCUAAUACCGCAUAAUAUUAAUUAUUGCAUGAUAAUUAAUUGAAAGGUGCAAUUGCACCACUACCAGAUGGACCUGCGUUGUAUUAGCUAGUAGGUGAGGUAACGGCUCACCUAGGCGACGAAACAUAGCCGACCUGGGAGGGUGGACGGCCACACUGGGACUGGAGCACGGCCCCGAAUUCCAAGGGGGGGAGCAAGAGGGGAAUCUUCGGAAAUGACGGAAGUCUGACCGGGCCACGCCGCGGGGGUGGAGGAGGGUUUCGGAACGUAAAGCUCUGUUGUAAGAGAAGAACGGGUGUGAGAGUGGAAAGUUCACACUGUGACGGUAUCUUACCAGAAAGGGACGGCUAACUACGUG
rnacentral:rRNA from 1 species